AUGAUCUCAGCUGAGAAACACACACGAAGAACACUUCACAGAGACAACAUGUUCAGAAUUUCUGUGUUGAUCUGCAUCUCUCUACUGGUUUAUGGCAACUCAGCCAAGCCAUACAAGUCCUGGGAUAAAGUGGCUGAGUAUGCAGUCCAGGAGACUCUGAUGUCUGAAAAGGAGAGGGUGAUGUUUGAUCUGGGGCUGAAGCAGGUGGAGGCUCCUGAAGACAUGGACAUCACUAACAAUGACAUCCACCCUGUCAUGGCCAUCUGGAAGAACAUGAGAGGGGGAGGUGGGAAGAGACAGAAGGUAGAAAAAGAGGUAGUCCAAGGCAGAUACUCCACAACCGAGGAGGACAUGGACCAUCUAUACCACCCAUCCAUGGAGCAGACCCACGAGGCUGACCUGGCCAGAGCCCGAUCUCAGCCAGAGGACACCUUCGUUCGGAUGGCCAUCCAGACAGAGCCCCUUGAGGAGGAUAACACCAAGUACUACCAGGAGGCUGGGAUAGAUCUAGAUAACAUCUCUCAUCUCUUCUCAGGCCAGGUGGAUCCACGGCACCCUGAAGAGGACUGGGACGAACUCUACCAUCCAGAGAUGAAAAGGGGAGACGGGCAGUACCAAGUGGACGUGCCUCACCAGGGGGAGCUAGCUGCUGUAGGGGCAGAGGUGAAGGGUCAUAGUGAGCCAGAGGAAGACAGGGAUGACCUCUACCAUGGUGACCUGCCUGUACCUGUACCUGGCCAGGACAGGCAGCAGUCUGCCGAUCGGCCCUCUCAGAGGAUGUACAGAGAACCAGAAGAGGACCUGGAUGACCUCUAUCAUCAUUAA
rnacentral:lncRNA from 8 species